rnacentral:tRNA from 1 species
CAGAAUAGAGCUUUGAAGAGAAGUGUUUCAUUUACAUUGAGGAAGGUUCUGUGCGAUUCAGGAUAUUUUGA